GGUGUUUGUAGCAGCAAAUUGCUGCGCUCUUUGAUGUCACCGCCAAUGUGAUAUGGCAAGCCACAGUUAGCAAAUGAAACGAAGGGGCCCCGCUCAAACAUAAUGAUUUCAGCUUCUUCGCUGAGUCGACGAGCACGAGCCGCUGCGGAUGCACCACCCGCGACACCAC
rnacentral:antisense_RNA from 14 species